CGCGCGUAACCGCUCCUGAUUGGUCGAGUCACCGAAGCGUGAAGCGUGACCACGACUAUAUAUACCACAAAUUCUGACAAAUGGUUCAUUCGACGUCUUGUAUCUACAUCAGCAACAUGGAAAACUUCAGAACUUUCCUUGAUGUGAUUGGAGUGCUCGACCCUACCAAGGUGGAUUUUAUUUCUGAACUUCCGCCGGAGGUGUCGCAGUUAAUCCUACGCAUGUUGGAUCCUCGGUCUCUGCUUUGCGCUGCUAGAGUGUCAGAGACGACGAGAACGUUUUCCUGCGGCAGCUGUUGAAGAACCAAGGACGACGGUACGGAGGGCAGUUCCAGUUCCUGCACAGGUGAGAGUAGUUGCACCUCAUGUACAAGCUCGGCCAGGUUCGAGAAAUUCGACGCGUGGUAAAUCCAUUAGAAUGUAAUCUUUUGUAUUAAUAAAUUAUUUAACCUGA